rnacentral:rRNA from 1 species
UACGAAGGGGGCUAGCGUUGCUCGGAAUCACUGGCGUAAAGGGUGCGUAGGCGGGUCUUUAAGUCAGGGGUGAAAUCCUGGAGCUCAACUCCAGAACUGCCUUUGAUACUGAGGAUCUUGAGUUCGGGAGAGGUGAGUGGAACUGCGAGUGUAGAGGUGAAAAUUCGUAGAUAUUCGCAAGAACACCAGUGGCGAAGGCGGCUCACUGGCCCGAUACUGACGCUGAUGCACGAAAGCGUGGGGGGAGCAAACAG